ensembl:lncRNA
UGCAGUCAGAGACCUGAUCACCAAUUGGGUGCUGCUGUGAGCUGAGGAACAGUCCACUACUUCUCAAGAUUGUGAAAGAGCUACACUGUACUAAUUCUAUGAUAUUACUCCCAAGUAUGGUUGAUAUAGCUGAACUUCUAUAAAUGCUAUAGUCAUGAGGCAUGUCAGGUAAGAUAGACAACACUUCUGGUUUCCACAUUCAUCUACCUUUGAAUACUUUUGCCCUGCAUGUAGACCACAGAAAUUUCAUGAUGUGAACAACCUUAGGGAAACAUAUGAAAGCCACUGAAGAAUGGUGUAAAUAGGAGAAAAGAGAGACAUAAAUAGGAUUAAAAUGUAGCAGACACCCUGAGAUAAAUUACUGCCUUGUACUUUAGUGUCAUUUUCAUUUUAAAGUAGUCCUUGUGAGGGAAAGCAAGAGUCAUUUUCAAUCUGGCACUUGAAUACUGAAUUAAUGGAGAAAUGGAAAACCUUGCUGUGGCUUCAGCAGAGAUCCAAAUAUUUUUUCCAGAGACCUUUUCUGCUCCACAUUUAAACAACAUUUGUCUUAGAGAUGCUUGAAUCUAUUUAAAGGUAAACUAAGAUCUCAUUUAGCCUUGUGAUAUUUUCAAGAUUCACCAAGAAGCCGUGACAGUAUGAAGAGAUCAAAAUUAUUAUACUCUAGUGAAAAACAGCUUUGGGAAAAAUGAACUGGUAAACUGACAUUAAAGCCAAUGCUUCAAUAAAAUAUACACCACUAGCACUUUGGCCUAUCUACCAUUCUUAAGGUGCUCCUGAUCUCUUAUUUGAAACUCAUGAGAAUGUUGAGGGAGGCUAUGGAAAUACUGAGGGAAUUAUCUGCAUUAAACUGGGAUCUGAUAAAUUAUCUGCAUUACACUGGGAUCUGGUAAAUAAAAGAAAUUACCUUUUCGGGUAAUUUAUGUCCAAGGUUGAAGAAGGCCUCUGAGAUUAUUUAACUCAACUGUUCACCUACCAUCACCAUUUCCCCACUAAACCAUGACUCUUUGUUCAACGUCUAAACAUUUCUUGAACACCUCCAGGGAUGAUGACUCCACUACCUCCCUGGGCAGCCCAUUCCAGCACCUGACCACUCUUUAGAUGACAUUUUUCUUAAUAUCCAAUCUGAAUCUUCCCCGGUGCAACUUGAGGUUGUUCUCUUUAGUUGUAUUGCUACUUAUGUGGGAGAAGAGGCCAACCCCACCUCAUCACAACCUCCUUUCAAGCAGUUGUAAAGAGCAAUAAGGUCUUCCUUGAGCCUCCUCUUCUCCAGUCCAAACAAUCCCAGUUCCCUCAUAAAGUUCAUGAAAGAAUUUGGUAAAUUCAUGGCCAAAUAUCCAUAAACAGAAACUAAAGCAGGAUACUCACACAUAUACCUUCUAGCAUCACCCGCUGAAUUAUUUUGAGUUCUGGGAGACCACCAGUGGAAAUGGUAGGGUUUGCAUAUUCUUCCUAAGUAAUUUUACCUGUGCCAGACAGAAUACUAGGCUAGAUAGGCCAUCCAUCUGAUGCAGUUGGUGUUUCUUACAUUUGUACUCACAUGUAUAUAUGUGCUCUGACACAACUGAAGUGUACCUACAGCGUAUUCUGUUGCAAGGUACAGACAUAUGUGGGUUUUUUUGUUUUGUUUUGUUUUGUUUUUUGUCGUUGUUUUUUUCUAUCAGGUACAUUAUUGAUCUAGAUAAAAAUAUGUUUUUAAGAGAGCUCUGUAUAUAAGUUAAGGAGCGGAAUUAAUGCGCUGACAUUUUACAAAGUGCCAAUACAAGCUGUUGGACUUAACCUGCUGUCUAGGUUAGUCUAAUUUGGCUUGGCUUUAAAGAGGCUGACUAUUCAGAAUAAUCUGGGUUAAGUUGAUUUUUGCACUAAGCAAACUAAAUCCAAACUGCAAAUCAAUCUUUACUUUGUAUAUACAGAGAGUACGCUAUCUGUUCCAAUGUUUGUUACAUGCUGAAUCAUUCCUCAGUGUGAAUUCUAAGACAAAAAUUCAAAUAGAACUUUCUAGUCCCACUCCUAUUGCCAGUGAGGGACUGCACAUGACGGUUAAUUUCUAAGGGUGCAUCUUCAGUAACUUCAGAUCUGCCUCCAUUAGUAAUGGCUUAUUAAUCUUUUCUGUUAAAUUUAUUGGGAAUUUGGGCUAUUCUGUAAUACUUCAAACAAAGCAGUGCUGUCUUAGUAGCAUCUAAGUAGUACCACUGGGAGUUUAGACAGUAACUUUUUCUAUUCCUCUUCUUCUAUCUGUUAAAUGGAGACUGAAAGGCUUACAGAACUUAGUGUUAUUAAUGUUUGUACAGAUCUCAGGUAAAAAUACCAUAAAAAGGCAAGAUCUGGCUUUAAUAAAAGUUCAGGGCUGUGUCUUAUUUUAUUUAUUUCUUUUUGACCUUUGAAGGGGGUGAAAUCUGAACUUUCUACUGUUCCUAAAUGUAAUUCCUGAUGCUUAUGACUUAGAACUUAAAGUCUCCCGUUUUAGCUGUAGUUAUCAUGAAUUAGUGAUGCAAAUACAUUAUAUUUGAUGCCUUUAAAUUGAGUAUUUGACACUUUAAAACCACAUUAACACUACUGGAGCACUAAGGCUACAAUAACUCGAUUUUAAAAGAUUAUUCCUGUGAAAUCCUAUGAUAGUUUGUAAUUCAAGAGCAACACUUUCUACCUUUGCAUUCUUUAUUCUCAUUGUCUCUUUUCUUCAGUCACCAGAAGAAUCAUGUUACAAAAACAAUGUAGUUAGGUAAGAGGUCCUGGAUAUGUAUGUGGGUGUAUGCAAUACCCUGUACACUCUCACAGUUGAACAGUGAUACAGCAGUUCCUAAACUAGGAAGUAUCUUUCUAGAAGACAUAGUCUUGUAAUAAAAUAUGGUGUAUUCUGUGGGCUGAGACUUCAGCAGAUGUAAUUUUUAAUAACUGCAACCAGCUACAUUUUUAGAAUGCUAUGUUGGUUGAAGAUAAGCGGCUAUCUGGCAGUGCAGAAGUUCAGUUCUCAAUCAGGAGUUUGAUAAGGAGAAUGUUUAUGCUUGUCAGAUCUCUUUUAAAAAGUAAUGGAAUGAUUACAGAAGAAACUUGUUUUCUGGGCUGAAAAGAGACUAGCAAAUAAUUUUAACUUCAUAAGACAACUUCAAUAAAGUUAGAUGCAUUACCAUGAUCAUUUUCAAAAGACUGUUUAACAUGACCAUUUAUAUUAUGACUAAAACAGAUUUCAGGAAGGCAAUACCAGAUGUAUAGAUCUCUAAUGGUAAAAUCAUAUUCAACUACAUAAUAUAUAACAGAUAUAUAUUUUUUUAUACAAAGAAAUAAAGUUUGGAAACAAUUCGUGUAAAAUAAUGAGAUAACCAUUUUGUUGAAAGCAAAGUAUGGGUGCUCUAUUUAAAAGAAUGGAUGGUUCUCAUUACGAUGCCUAUUGUAGGAAAACUACAAGGUGAUACUGCCUUCUGAAAGAUUCCUCCACAUAAUGAAUACUGCUCAAACUUCUAGUCAAUCUAUAUGAAAAGUUACUUCUGGAGACUUCACUUGCAUAAAAGUCACUGUAUCUUGCCAUUAGAAUUCGUUGACAAAUGUAUUUAAUUUAUGUUCGGUGUAAUUGAACUACUCCAUCAUUCCUUCCUGUUUGGACAGUUAUGGCCACUUAGGAGUUUUACGUCACUUUUAACCUUGGAUGAUACCGGUUUUUCUUUUUGAUGGUCCAGAACUAAGAAACUAUAAUUUCAUUGUUCACUCAGCAGUUUUUUUUUGGUUUUUUUUUUUGUCCAUUUAUAUUUUUCCCAAUGUUGGAUCAAUAUAAACUCCUUUAAUAAAGAUAAUGGAAAAUCUCCAUGCUCUUAAUUAAUCCUCUCUUUCCUGUUUUAUAAAUAUUUUUAAAUCUUCCUAUCAUUUUUUCCAUGCUGACAUCUUCAUUUUUUUUUUCUCUUACAGUCUGAUAUUUGGACCCUAUCUUUUCAUAACAUUGAUUAUAUAGAUGCAUCAAUAAAACCUCUAUCUAUAUAUCUGCAUAUAAUUCACCUAUAAAGGUUCUAAAAGAGACAUAUUGCCAGUAAACAUUUAGGCUUUUCCAAUUGGCAUCUUAGGAUGUUCUUUGUCUUACAGGUUGAUAGCAUCAUUUUGAGGGAGGCAAAUAUAUAGAGUACUUCAGGCCUGGAAGAACCUCCAGCAUAACACUAGUAAAGCUCAGGGAUUUACUAGUGGUGAUGAGCUGUCAUCAGGUCUUAAAGGUCUUUAUCUUAAAGAUAGAAAAAGUAAUAAGACAGACUGGACCAUAUGCAUGGGAGGAAACGUCAAUGGUAUCAGAUAUAUAUACGAAUAUUUAAAAAUAUGUGGGGUUAUUUCCCAAUUACUAGUUCAAAGGAAAAAAAAAAGGGGCAAGGAAGAUUAAAAUUUUUGUUUGUUUGUUUGUUUUUUAACUAAAGGAAAAUUAAAAAAAUAAAAAUAAAAAGGAAAAGGAAGAGAAAAACCCUGUACAGAGGAAGAAGCUUUUUCAAUCAAAAUAUUUUUUUUAUCUAGUGUUAGGCAGACAGCCUGCAGAAGAUGACUACCCACUAGCAUUCUAACUUCUCUCUUUAGACAUAUAUCCAAGACUGCUCAUUAGCAUUCCCAAGCAUGUACCAAUUUGAAAAUGUCUUCCUUUCAACUCAGCAAUAUGGAAACCCCAAAGUGCACUUUAUUUGCCUAAUACGUUCCUUCAAGAUGUUCAAAAUCAGUUGUGAGUCUUCUGGUUAUAUUCAAGUGAAAUCCACUCAAAGGAAAAAAAUUCUUUUUACUAAAUAAUGAAGGCAGAGAGUGCAAGAAAAUAUGGUGUUCUGGACUGAGCAGUGGCAAGAAACACAUGGUAUUCUCGUAUGAUUAUAUAUGCAGCACUGUCAUCUUAACAGCAAAGUGUUGUGGUUCUUAUCAAAUCUGAUUACAGAAUCACCAACAGAUAAUAUUAUUUUGCUUGCUAAAAGAAAUAUAUUUUAAAAUGCUCAAAUGAUCACUCAGUAAGUUGAUCAGCCAAAUUCACAAUCAACCAAGAAGAGACCGAUGAGUCCAAUAUUAUUCAGAGCACAAAAAUUUUCCUCCACGUUACUUAUUGUAUUGAUAUUGUUUUUAUUUUCAGCUCCACAAGGAGACAAGGAAAACUCCCUCCAUCCUCCACUCAUAAACAUUACCAGUGUACCUAGAUUUGCACCUUGCUUGUUCUGCUGUGCUAUGUUGAGAUGCUAUUUAUUUCAUCUUGCAUUACAUACUUCCCUGGAAUUAGGAGUGAAUGGAUACCUAGUUACCAGCAAGUCAGUGAUUUUCCUUUGAUCGGAGAACACUCCCACUGUUAGUAGGCUGUGAAAGUUAACAAAAUGUAAAGAACUGGAUCAAAAAAAAGGUAAAUACUGGUUAAAAAAAGUAAAUACAAAAAAUACUCUGUAAUAUGAGCAUGUAAGCUGAAAUUGUAAUCAGGUGGGGUGUAAGUUGUGCUUUAUAAGGCACAAUCAAAGCACAUCAGUAGCUAAUUUGCCUUCAUUUAACUGGUUAAUGGCAUUUUUUAUAACACAGAAGAAUUCAUCCCCUUCCAUCUCAGUUUCCUGUAAAACAGAGCAGCAAUAUUUAUAUACCUCCCAGGGCUAUUGCAAGGAUUCACUAAUUAGAUAUAGAUUUGUUUUCAAAUGGGGUGACUCAACCACUGCUCAGUCUCUCCACUCUGCUCCAGCAGGGUCAGAGCUCAGGCAUCCUGCUUCCUUGGGGGCUCUUUUCUGAGCUUUGGUGAAAUGAUAACAAGGGACUUUGAGAGCUUGCUUUCCUGUACUGCAUGCCAUAUUUCAGGAGAAUUACUAGAUUAUUUAGCAAUAGCUUAAUGAUACAGAAUAGGAAGGAACAUUUUUAGAGCUGGCAUCUUAGUUGUCUGUUCAACAUGCACUGUGUGAGUACACACAGUACAAAUCUCCUCAAAGGAUCUACAGAUGAAAGGAGCUUCCUUGUAGCUUUCUCAACUUUCUUUUUUUGGGAGUUCAGGAUGUGGUUUUCAUCCCAACUUGCAUGUCCAUGCUGUCUUCCAGCCUCUCAGAGACUUCUCUCAACUCCUCAUGCGUUCUGCAACAACUCUUCAAGGGUAACGAGUUGCUACGCAGGAGACCCUGUACACCUGUAGAGUGCAAAAACAAGAAAAAGACCUCUGUAUCCUCCAUUGCUUGGAAGAGAGCAGAGGUAAUCUCAGAGGAGAUUUUCUGAGAAGAUAAUUUUAAAUACUUAGACUCAUUCUUUU